GGUUGCCGGCCAUUAUUGGUCGCGGCCGGAGCGCUCAAGUCACGAUCCCUCAUUCCUUGGUCAGUCGCCAACACUGCGAGAUCUCCGAGCGCGCUGGGCAACUUGUCGUUCGAGACUUGGAUUCGCUGAACGGCACUUACGUCGGUGACGAGCGAAUUACUGAAGCGAUCUUAGAGCCUGGGGCAUUACUGACCGUUGGAACCGUCACCUAUCGGGCCGUUUACAAUGUCGGCUGCGGCGACUCGUGCGCCGGUGAUGGGGAUGAAACUCGCCGUGAUGCAUCGACAUUCGACGGCGACGAAGCACCCAUCGCCGACUCCGAAACAGUGCCCGUCGGCUCGCAUUCGGUUAAUGAAGCACGUCUUCCACCACGAGUGACGGAUAUCGGGAAGGCGUCCAACGAGGCAGCAACGGAGCCAAUGUCGGAUCUUUCAACAGAACCGAAGCUAGAAUCUGUCUCCCAAAAAUCCGACUAAUGGAACCCCCAAUGCAGUUAAGAAUGCCUUCGCGCUUCCUUCGUGCGCUUACUUUGGUCCUGCUGGCUCAGGCGUUCGGUUGCUCUCAGGAUUCGGCCGUCGAAUCGGCGGAACCGCCGCGCGCGGCCGGAACUCAAGCGCCAAACAAGGAGAAGCCGACGAAUCGUCUGGCGAAGGAGACGAGCCCUUACUUGCUCCUGCACGCCCAUAAUCCCGUCGAUUGGUAUCCGUGGGGAGACGAGGCGUUUGCGAAAGCAAAGGCGGAGGGGAAAGCGAUUUUUCUCUCCGUCGGCUAUACGAGUUGCCAUUGGUGUCACGUCAUGGAGCGCGAGUCGUUUGUCGACGAGGAAAUCGCGGCGUAUAUGAACGAACACUUCGUCUGCAUCAAAGUCGAUCGCGAGGAACGUCCCGAUGUCGAUUCGAUCUACAUGACGUCGGUCCAGAUUUACAACCAAGUGACCGGAAACGGGCGUGGCGGCGGUUGGCCGAUGUCGGUCUUCAUGACGCCGGACGCCAAGCCGUUCUUUGGCGGGACCUAUUUCCCCGCGAGAGAUGGUGACCGGGGAGCUGGGACUGGGUUCUUCACCUUGUUGAAACGUGUGCAAGAUUUUUGGAGUACGCAGCGCGAGGCAAUCGAGCGCGACGCGGAAGCCAUCACCCAGUUAGUCAAGCAGGAGUUGGACCGCCCGCGAACCAGUGCCGAGUCGACGGUCGAACCGACCAUCUUGGACCAAGCCCUUCAAUCGCUCGCCGAUCAGUACGACCCCGAGUACGGCGGAUUUGGUUUCACACCGACCAAUCCGAAUCAAU
rnacentral:misc_RNA from 1 species